rnacentral:lncRNA from 1 species
CAAAUGAGUUAUAAAAAUUAUCUUCAUAAAUAUGAAUAUUCCAGGAAAAAUAGAAAAAGAACACUAUGAGUAAAUACAAUAAAAUGCGGUUUAGCCAAAAUGAUUACGAUUAUAGAAACUAACUUGUUUGGUAUUUACAAACUUACGAGGUCAUACUAAUGAGUACAAAUAUUACUGUUAUACCACUGUUUGAGGUUACGGGGAGGGUUGGGAUCCAGCUAACAUGUUUAACCCCCGCCACAUUAUUUAUGUAUGUGCCUGUCCCAAGUCAGGAGCCUGUAAUUCAGUGGUUGUCGUUUGUUUAUGUGUUACAUAUUUGUUUUUCGUUCAUUUCUUUUUUUUUUAUAUAGAUAAGGUCGUUAGUUUUCUCGUUUGAAUUGUUUUACAUUGCCUUAUCGGGGACUUUUAUAGCUGACUAUGCGGUAUGGGCUUUGCUCAUUGUUGAAGGCCGUACGGUGACCUAUAGUUGUUAAUGUCUGUGUCAUUUUGGUCUAUUGUGGACAGUUGUCUCAUUGGCAAUCAUAGCACAUCUUCUUUUUUAUA